rnacentral:misc_RNA from 1 species
GAUGAAGAACGUAGCGAAAUGCGAUAAGUAAUGUGAAUUGCAGAAUUCAGUGAAUCAUCGAAUCUUUGAACGCACAUUGCGCCCUCUGGUAUUCCGGGGGGCAUGCCUGUUCGAGCGUCAUUAUAACCACUCAAGCUCUCGCUUGGUAUUGGGGCUCGCGGUUCCGCGGCCCCUAAAAUCAGUGGCGGUGCCUGUCGGCUCUACGCGUAGUAAUACUCCUCGCGAUUGAGUCCGGUAGGUCUACUUGCCAGCAACCCCCAAUCCUUACAGGUUGACCUCGGAUCAGGUAGGGAUACCCGCUGAACUUAAGCAUAUCAAUAAGCGGAGGA